UACGGAGGGGGCUAGCGUUGUUCGGAAUCACUGGGCGUAAAGGGCGCGUAGGCGGCCGCCCGCGUCGGACGUGAAAGCCCGGGGCUCAACCCCGGAACGGCGUCCGAUACUGGCGGGCUUGAAUCCGGGAGAGGGAUGCGGAAUUCCAGGUGUAGCGGUGAAAUGCGUAGAUAUCUGGAGGAACACCGGUGGCGAAGGCGGCAUCCUGGACCGGCAUUGACGCUGAGGCGCGAAAGCUAGGGGAGCAAACGGGG
rnacentral:rRNA from 1 species